CAGGAUGAACGCUGGCGGCGUGCUUAACACAUGCAAGUCGAACGGAACUUGUCUGAUAGAGGAUUUCGUCCAAUUGAUUACAAGUUUAGUGGCGACGGGUGAGUAACGCGUGAAUAACCUGCCUGUAUGUGGGGGAUAACAACCGGAAACAGUUGCUAAUACCGCAUAAUGUAUGGAGAUCGCAUGUUUUCCAUACCAAAGAUUUAUUGCAUACAGAUGGAUUCGCGUCCGAUUAGAUAGAUGGUGAGGUAACGGCUCACCAUGGCGACGAUCGGUAGCCGGACUGAGAGGUUGAACGGCCACAUUGGAACUGAGAUACGGUCCAGACUCCUACGGGAGGCAGCAGUGGGGAAUAUUGGGCAAUGGGCGAAAGCCUGACCCAGCGACGCCGCGUGAAGGAAGACGGUCUUCGGAUUGUAAACUUCAAACAACAGGGAAGAAACAAAUGACUGUACCUGUUAGGAAGCCACGGCUAACUACGUG
rnacentral:rRNA from 1 species